GCUUUCGACCUCCGAGGCUGCGACCGCGUGUCCUGUAGCAGCAACCACUGCAGAUGGGGCGUUGCAGCUCUCGAGCUGCUGCGGCUGCAGCUGGACUUGGCAGGGGUGAGAUAAUUAGCCCUUUUGAUGCACAAGCGCCUUCCUUUCUUCUACCUUCCUGUUCUUGACAAAGGUUUGUAUCCCCAAGACAUUAAAAUGCAACCCUUACAAUUUUCCUGUUUCGGCUACAAAUUAGAAAUAUCCUGAUCCCCAUUAAAAAAGGAUUCGUUCCCAGAGAAAGUGGCUUAAUUCAAGUUUUCACACAGGCACCCGAAAGCCAGCAAUUCCCUUAUGGAAAGGUAGAUUCAGGAGAUCUGGGCAGGACUGCGUGGCAGCGUCAGGUAAGCAUUUCUUUAAAACGGGGAAAUGACAUUAAGCACGAUUUGAACAAACACAGCUGUGACUACCCGAUCCCCGGAAGCAUAUUUCUUAAACAUUUCUUUACUACUUUUCCACAUUAAUGUCUAAGUACACCCUGCCCCGAACACACACACCUUUGUACUCUGUAAAGCAUGUAUGCAUGCUUUUGUUUUUUGUGUGUGAUGGGUUUUUUUUCUCCUGAUAUAUUUGUGAAGAUCUCAUGUUUUUCUCUGCACAAUAAACACCCUUCUGAAAUGAGAGCAUUUGCCCCAGAUGCCAUGUAUUCAGGGUCACAGCUAACAUUUUUCUCCUUUAAAUAGGCUCCCUUAUUUCCUAGCCCUCAAUCCAAUUCCUAGUGAGGUGGCUGUCCUACCGGACUCAAAGAAUGAAACUGCCACCUGGGCUCUGAAGAGAUGCCAGUUCCAGUAGUUCCUCAAGGGUUCAAAGAACUUCAGUGACUGCCACAGGCAAAGUGGAUUCAAAUGCUAAACGGAACCAAGCAGACCGAAGACUGCAGAAAGGAAGAAACGCCUUACUAUGCUCCAGUGCAGCGGCGGACGGCCCGGUGUUAUUUCUGGAAUCCCCAAGGCCAGGCUGCAAGACACACGAGCGUUUAUGUUCCUGUGGGUUGGGGUGGAGCUGGACACACAGAAAUCCCAACGGAUAAAAUGCCUUCUGUAUAAGCAGUGGAUUUCAAGAUUCCCUAAAUUAGAGCAGCAAACCCAGCCCAUAGAGAGGAGACGCCCAUGGAGGUGAUGAGAGAGGAGACAUAUGAAGGGAAAUUGUCAAAAAGGUUGUUUCUGAGUGAGGCCUACCCAAAAGAGGCACGUGCCAAAUAUUUACCACAAACAAGCUCAUAUGAUCAUGUGAAAUCAAAAACUGACACAUUAUGAAAUUGUAAUAUCUGAGGGACUCCAUAGAAUCUGCUUGUGUCUGAAAAAAAAAUUCUUGGUACUUCAAGUCCCAGAACACAGAAAAGCUGACAUUUAGAGUGGNNNNNNNNNNNNNUAUUUUAUUUAUUUAUUGAGGGUCACACUGCAUUUAAAUCCUGCAAGGAUUAACUCAUUCAAUAUACUUGAUGCCACUAAAAGGGAAAUGUUGUAAACACCAUCUCCAAUUU
ensembl:lincRNA Gm4419 predicted gene 4419